GACGAACGCUGGCGGCGUGCUUAACACAUGCAAGUCGUGCGGUAAGGCCCUUUCGGGGGUACACGAGCGGCGAACGGGUGAGUAACACGUGAGCAACCUGCCCUUCACUUUGGGAUAACUGCCGGAAACGGUGGCUAAUACCGGAUAUGACUUCCUCACGCAUGUGGGGUGGUGGAAAGCCUUCGGGUGGUGGGGGAUGGGCUCGCGGUCUAUCAGCUUGUUGGUGGGGUGAUGGCCUACCAAGGCUUCGACGGGUAGCCGGCCUGAGAGGGUGACCGGCCACACGGGGUAUGGGACACGGCCCAGACCCCGAGGGGGGGAAGCGGGGGGGAAUAUUGGAAAAGGGGGGAAAGCCUGACCCAGCAACGCCGGGGGGGGGAAGAGGGCCUUCGGGUGGAAAACUCUUUUCCGCUGCGAGGAAGGGAGAGGGGCGGGAGAAGGAAAAGAAGCCCCGGCCAACUACGG
rnacentral:rRNA from 1 species